rnacentral:rRNA from 1 species
CAGUAGCCACGGGAAUACGUAGGUGGCAAGCGUUGUCCGGAAUCAUUGGGCGUAAAGGGCUCGCAGGCGGUUUCUUAAGUCUGAUGUGAAAGCCCCCGGCUCAACCGGGGAGGGUCAUUGGAAACUGGGAAACUUGAGUGCAGAAGAGGAGAGUGGAAUUCCACGUGUAGCGGUGAAAUGCGUAGAGAUGUGGAGGAACACCAGUGGCGAAGGCGACUCUCUGGUCUGUAACUGACGCUGAGGAGCGAAAGCGUGGGGAGCGAACAGGAUUAGAUACCCCAGUAGUCCCUGUCUCUUAUAC